GACGAACGCUGGCGGCGCGCUUAACACAUGCAAGUCGAACGGAAAGGCCUGCUUUCCCUCGUGGAUUGCGGGUACUCGAGUGGCGAACGGGUGAGUAACACGUGAGUGAUCUGCCCCCAACUUGGGUAUAAGCCUGGGAAACUGGGUCUAAUUCCCGAUAGGACUGCAGGGUGGUGCCUGUGGUGGAAAACGAUUUUCUAGUGGUUGGGGAUGAGCUCGCGGCCUAUCAGCUUGUUGGUGGGGUAAUGGCCUACCAAGGCGGCGACGGGUAGCCGGCCUGAGAGGGUGGACGGCCACAUUGGGACUGAGAUACGGCCCAGACUCCUACGGGAGGCAGCAGUGGGGAAUAUUGCACAAUGGGCGGAAGCCUGAUGCAGCGACGCCGCGUGGGGGAUGACGGCCUUCGGGUUGUAAACUCCUUUCGACCGCGAGGAAGCCACCUGGUUGGAAGGGUGGUGACGGUAGUGGCAGAAGAAGCACCGGCUAACUACGUG
rnacentral:rRNA from 1 species